UCCGUAGGUGAACCUGCGGAAGGAUCAUUAAAGAAUACACGGCCUCACGGCUCUAUUCUCACCCUUUGUAUACCAAACUUCGUUGCUUUGGCAGGCCCCUGGCUUCGGCUGGAUCGCGCCUGCCAAAGGACCUAAACUCCUGAAUCUUUGAUGUCUGAGUACUAUAUAAUAGUUAAAACUUUCAACAACGGAUCUCUUGGUUCUGGCAUCGAUGAAGAACGCAGCGAAAUGCGAUAAGUAAUGUGAAUUGCAGAAUUCAGUGAAUCAUCGAAUCUUUGAACGCACAUUGCGCCCUCUGGUAUUCCGGGGGGCAUGCCUGUUCGAGCGUCAUUACAACCCUCACGCCUAGCGUGGUAUUGGGCUCGCCCUGUAGGGCCUGCCUCAAAGUCAGUGGCGGCACCGUUUGACCCCUAAGCGUAGUAAUACUCGUCGCUUCUGGUGUCCGGCGGAGGCCUGCCAGCAACCCCCCAAUAUUUUAAAGGUUGACCUCGAAUCAGGUAGGGAUACCCGCUGAACUUAAGCAUAUCAAUAAGCGGAGGA
rnacentral:rRNA from 1 species